GCUCUGAUAGUGUAGUGGUUAUCACGCGCCCUUCACACGGGCGAGGUCCCCGGUUCGAUCCCGGGUUGGAGCA